GGGAAUGUAGCUCAGUUGGUAGAGUGCUUGCCUCCCAUGCACAAGGCCCUGGGUUUAAUCCCCAGCACCCA
rnacentral:tRNA from 1 species